GGAAUGUGGCUCAAGCGGUAGCGCGCUCGCCUGGCACGCGUGUGGUCUGAGUUUGAUCCUUAGCACCA
rnacentral:tRNA from 1 species